GGUGCAGAUAGGGCAGGAUUCUGGUCCUUCUCAAUGUCCUCCUGAAGAGGACCUUGCAAAACCUCCAGUUCUUUUUCAUUCAUCAACUUAUCAAGACCACAGCAACUAACUGCAGGCAGUAGAAAAUAAAGAGGAAAACAAGCUGAGUCAUCAUGAAAAAAUUGUAACCUGAUACUAGAGAGAAGAGACGAGAGAUAUAUGGGAACCACUGGAGAGAAGGCCAGGAGGACAGCCCCAGGCAACCUAGGGACAUGGAUGGAAGUCUGCUGAGUCCAGGAUCCAGCUCUCCCUUCACCAACUUGCCCAUGUGCAGAGUCUCUUCCGUCCCUCCUUUGCUCACCUGCCCUGGAGCGACCCUGCCCUGCCUCCUUACCCAGCACCCCAGCAGCUCUCAGAGCCAGCAGCCUGAAAGCACUGAUCUGUCCUCUAGGC
ensembl:lncRNA